ACGGAAAUAAAAAACUACAAUAUGAAUUCAAAUAAAAGAUACCAUUAUGUCACAAACUGUUAUUUGUCCCUCAGUUCUUCUCGUUUCACCAGACGUUUGCUGGAUCCAUAGCCCACAGAAUAACGAUUAGGUUUACCACCUCUCUCUCGCUCUCUCUCGCCAUUGUAACCAUGUGUCAGGUAUGGCUGUUGGGACAAGAGAGGAAGCGAGACCAGCAGCUUCCAGGAUCUGCUCUUACCAACAGGCAAACCUGGUACCCAGACUGACAGGGACGGAGUGAGUGGAUGUCUCGGGGUCAUAUCCCAAGACUGGAUCCAUAUCGACAUGGAUGGUAGUUUAUUCUUUGGUUUUCCUCUGGAAUAAUGGACUGUUGAUGGGUCUCAUUCUGUUGGAUUAAAGAAGAGCAUGUAGCCAUUUCUUUAAACAGCGACAUGUGACUACAAAUGAAAAUGAAAUCAGAAGAUUUUACACUCUUGUCCCAUAGUGACAAUGACCAACUGGCUGGAAGCAAGUAGAGGCUGCCUCUUAAGACAGGAAAACAUUUUAACCCUGCUGUUCCCAUGAUGUCACAAGGACUAGAGUGUUGGGGAGGACUGAGAGCACACUCUUCCUCUGGAGUAUGUUAGACUCUAAGGGUCCAUGACACAGGAGUGGGGAACAUUUCAUUCAUCGAGGAUUGAGCCUCUCGUGCUGGGUGUUGAAAGAAACACCAGUGACGUCCCCGUGUAUUCACGUGGAGUAUCUGACAGUCAGUCAUUGCAGGAUUACAGAAGGAGGGGCAGUUCAGAGGGGAGGCCCCGUGGAGGCAGGCAUGGAGGAGCGCGUGGUGACUGACACCGAGAGCUUGUGACCCGGGCAGGUGGCAGACUCUGUUCGGUCAGAAGACUCUGCCGACUGCAGUGCAUAGAAAUCCACGUCCGUCCACGAGAAGUCGCAGGACGAGAACACCGCUGACAGGAAGUCACCUGUCAGAGCGUGCGGCACGAGUGGUGAGAAUGUUGAGUCUGAACCAAGGUCGUGGUGUCACAGUGGUGGAAAGGCCACUGGAGGUGAAAGAAGCAGACCCAGAGUCAUUUCCAAGAACAAACUGGAAGGUUUAUGGGACCAAUUAGGCAGAGAUCCUGAGGAGGAGAGGUGAAGAUGUGCAGUGGUUUCCGGCCAGGAAGAAGAGUGUUCCAUGGACGGUGAGGACAGAUGCGUGCUGGGCUUCUCUGAGGGCUGGGAAGACGCACGGGGAGCUUGAUUUUAGACAUGACACAAGUUCAGUGAUGGUGCUCAACACACAUGCGCCAAGGCGUGUCUCUCACACACACACAGCCUAAGAACAGAGUCCAUGAUCACGGCACAGCCAGAGUGGGCACGACACUGUCGCCACUGACACAGGCAGGGUGAGGGGGUUGGGCCUGUCAGGUGUUCUGAGGAGAAGUCGGCCGGCCUGAGAGUGCUGGAAGGUGCUCAAUUCUCAUCAAGAGGAGGGCCGGUUUCAGAGAUGAGAAGAGAGAGCUGGAGAGGGGAGAGCAGAGUCAGGAAAGGGCGGUGAACCAUGAAGCCGAGCAAGGAGGGUCCCUGUGGGGCCACACGUUUCCCAGAGGCCUGAUAGGGUCAGAACGUUAGGGGCUUCCUCGGAGAUCUCACUCUCCACGGAAUGGUGAGCGCAGAGGUCAAGGGCAGGAUGGAAUAAGGGAUGCACGGCGAGGCCUUAGUGACUGCUGCCCUGAUGUACGGGAAGAAAGGCUUCCAGGUCACGCCCAGGCCCCACCAGAUGUGUGCCGGCUGUGUGACAGGAGGCGGCAGGAGGAAGAGAGGGGUGAGCACUGAUAUGGCAGUCAGAACUCCAAGGCUCAGCGAACAGGUGGCCCCAGAGAAGAGGAGAGGAGACUUCCUCCUGGAAGGACAUGCACAGGGAGAAGCUAAGGCCUGUCCUUGCAGGGGCUGGGCGUUAGUGUGCAAUCUCAUCGGUUUUGGGGAGUGAAUAUGUGUUUCUGGAGCACGCACAACAUGCCGGGUGCUGUGUGGCAUCUGGAUGAAAACACUGAACUGACGCAGGCGCAGGUCCUCACAGGGGCUGGCAGGGGAGACAGACCUGCCGGGAGGCACGGGCAGCAGGCCCAGGCGGGGGGAGGGCAGGCCUCCACUGCAGGCCGGGAGGUAGCAGGAGGAGCCCACAGAGCCAGCCUCACCCACACAAGGACCGGGAGAUGAGAAGAAUUUAGGAGAAGACAGAAGAGGGUGGAGAUAGGGGAAUGUGAAGAAGUGGGGGCGUCCUGGGGGAGGGGAG